AGUGAACGCUGGCGGUAGGCCUAACACAUGCAAGUCGAACGGCAGCACAGGAGAGCUUGCUCUCUGGGUGGCGAGUGGCGGACGGGUGAGGAAUACAUCGGAAUCUACCUUUUCGUGGGGGAUAACGUAGGGAAACUUACGCUAAUACCGCAUACGACCUACGGGUGAAAGUGGGGGACCGCAAGGCCUCACGCGAUUAGAUGAGCCGAUGUCCGAUUAGCUAGUUGGCGGGGUAAUGGCCCACCCAGGCGACGAUCGGUAGCUGGUCUGAGAGGACGAUCAGCCACACUGGAACUGAGGCCCGGUCCAAGCUCCUACGGGAGGCAGCAGUGGGGAAUAUUGGACAAUGGGCGCAAGCCUGAUCCAGCCAUAGCGCGUGGGUGAAGAAGGCCUUCGGGUUGUAAAGCCCUUUUGUUGGGAAAGAAAUCCUGUCGAUUAAUACUCGGUGGGGAUGACGGUACCCAAAGAGUAAGCACCGGCUAACUUAGUG
rnacentral:rRNA from 1 species